rfam:Termite gut metagenome tgut2b_Contig1499, whole genome shotgun sequence.
UCCAUCGCGAGGUGGAAUCUGAAGGAAGCCGGAGGCAAAAUCCCGGGCCGACGAACAGAAAUCGCAUAUAAGGCAUUGCAAGGCGGACGAGUUUGCUAGGCAAAACGAAGUCCCAAAGGCCGGAGAGGAAGAGAACAGACUCCGACCGUACUGCCCGAACCUUGCAGUGUAAAUGCGGCGGCUGGAUGGGAUGAAGGUUAUCGGA